GACGAACGCUGGCGGCGUGCUUAACACAUGCAAGUCGAACGCUGAAGCUCAGCUUUUGUUGGGUGGAUGAGUGGCGAACGGGUGAGUAACACGUGAGUAACCUGCCUCCUUCUUUGGGAUAACGCCCGGAAACGGGUGCUAAUACUGGAUAUUCACUGGUCUUCGCAUGGGGGUUGGUGGAAAGGGUUUUUCUGGUGGGGGAUGGGCUCGCGGCCUAUCAGCUUGUUGGUGGGGUGAUGGCCUACCAAGGCUUUGACGGGUAGCCGGCCUGAGAGGGUGACCGGUCACAUUGGGACUGAGAUACGGCCCAGACUCCUGCGGGAGGCAGCAGUGGGGAAUAUUGCACAAUGGGCGCAAGCCUGAUGCAGCGACGCCGCGUGAGGGAUGGAGGCCUUCGGGUUGUGAACCUCUUUCGCUCAUGGUCAAGCCGCAACAAUGGUUGUGGUGAGGGUAGUGGGUAAAGAAGCGCCGGCUAACUACGUG
rnacentral:rRNA from 1 species